GACGAACGCUGGCGGCGUGCUUAACACAUGCAAGUCGAACGGUGACGAGGAGCUUGCUCCUCUGAUCAGUGGCGAACGGGUGAGUAACACGUGAGCAACCUGCCCCAGACUCUGGGAUAACAGUUGGAAACAGCUGCUAAUACCGGAUACGAGACGGAGAGGCAUCUCUACCGUCUGGAAAGUUUUUCGGUCUGGGAUGGACUCGCGGCCUAUCAGCUAGUUGGUGAGGUAAUGGCUCACCAAGGCGACGACGGGUAGCCGGCCUGAGAGGGCGACCGGCCACACUGGGACUGAGACACGGCCCAGACUCCUACGGGAGGCAGCAGUGGGGAAUAUUGCACAAUGGGCGAAAGCCUGAUGCAGCGACGCCGCGUGAGGGAUGAAGGCCU
rnacentral:rRNA from 1 species